rnacentral:lncRNA from 1 species
CUUGCUCAGGUAAUGAUGCUCUGCAGCCUGCUCUCACUUUAAUCUGGAUGGUGUGUGGCAUGGCAUGGAAGGAAGAAAAUCACAUGGAAUAUAUUUCUCCUUAUUAAGCCAACUGGUGUUCUCUCAAAUGAGCCUGACAACACAUUUGUGAAUGCUGAUUGGAAUAGCGAUGUUGUCCUGGACCUGGACCUUACCUGCCUGGAAGGGAGUUUGGAAAGAGCAUAAUCUGACCUUWUUUCCUUUUCUUUUGCUUCUUCCGCACCAUCCUGGAAGUAGUAAACCAAGAAAUCAAAUGUUCUGGAACAGUGCAACAAUGAGAAUGUUUUAACUUCCGGAUGAAACACUGAUUUUU